AAACCAGCACCUCAAGUGGUCAGGAUGAUUAUUGGGCCUAAAGCAUCCGUAGCCUGCUCUGUAAGUUUUCGGUUAAAUCUGUACGCUUAACGUACAGGCUGCCGGGAAUACUGCAGAGCUAGGGAGUGGGAGAGGUAGACGGUACUCGGGAGGAAGUGGUAAAAUGCUUUGGUCUCUCGAUGACCACCUGUGGCGAAGGCGGUCUACCAGAACACGUCCGACGGUGAGGGAUGAAAGCUGGGGGAGCAAACCGGAUUAGAAACCCUGGUAGUCC
rnacentral:rRNA from 1 species